rnacentral:misc_RNA from 1 species
GCUGUUGCUGCAUAGUGAAGGACACAAUGGCACGGUCCAUGAAAAACUAUUUGAGAGAUUAUCCAUUACAAUAGCAGAUAUACUAAGUGCUUGCUUUACCAAUCUGCCACGAGCUAUAACUAUGGCUUGUAAUUCUGGUGCCAUUGAGGAUAGGGAAAAAAAUGUGCACAGAGCAGCUUUAUUAGUUGGUAAAACCGAAGAGAUCUUGAAGAUUAUUCAAUAUCAUGAACUUCCAAAUAUAAAUGCUGAUCAAUCAGCUUAUAUUGAUCAGUCGAACCUUACACUCCAGCCAACAAACCUUGUUCCUGUCAUCCCUUUCAAUAGUGAAAUACAGAUCUGAGCUAUAUACCUAAUCAAGAGACAUCAUAUUUAGAUGAUCUAGAACUAGAACUAAAGUCAGCACAGUGAGCAGGCUACUAGCACUAGAUGAGCCCAAUCUUA